AUUGAACGCUGGCGGCAGGCCUAACACAGGCAAGUCGAACGAGUGGCGGACGGGUGAGUCAUGUCUGGGAAACUGCCUGCUGGAUGGGGAUAACUACUGGAAACGGUAGCUAAUACCGCAUACCAUCAGAUGUGCCCAGAUGGGAUUAGCUAGUUGGGGGGGUAACGGCUCACAAAGGCGACGAUCCCUAGCUUGUCUGAGAGGAUGACAAGCCACACUGGACCGUAGACACGGACCGUACUCCUACGGGAGGCAGCAGUGGGGAAUAUUGCACAAUGGGCGCAAGACUGAUGCAGCCAUGCCGCGUGUAUUAAGAAGGCCUUCGGGUUGUAAAGUACUUUCAGCGGGGAGGCGUUACCCGCAGAAGAAGCACCGGCUAACUCCGUGCCAGCAGCCGCGGUAAUUC
rnacentral:rRNA from 1 species